CUACGGGUCGCAGCAGUGGGGAAUAUUGCACAAUGGGGGAAACCCUGAUGCAGCAACGCCGCGUGGAGGAUGACACAUUUCGGUGCGUAAACUCCUUUUAUAUAGGAAGAUAAUGACGGUACUAUAUGAAUAAGCACCGGCUAACUCCGUGCCAGCAGCCGCGGUAAUACGGAGGGUGCAAGCGUUACUCGGAAUUACUGGGCGUAAAGAGCGUGUAGGCGGGUUUGUAAGUUGGAUGUGAAAUCCUAUGGCUCAACCAUAGAACUGCAUCCAAAACUACUUACCUAGAGUGUGGGAGAGGUAGAUGGAAUUUCUGGUGUAGGGGUAAAAUCCGUAGAGAUCAGAAGGAAUACCGAUUGCGAAGGCGAUCUACUGGAACAUAACUGACGCUGAGACGCGAAAGCGUGGGGAGCAAACAGGAUUAGAUACCCGCGUAGUC
rnacentral:rRNA from 1 species